rnacentral:rRNA from 2 species
GUGACCUCAAAUCAGGUAGGACUACCCGCUGAACUUAAGCAUAUCAAUAAGCGGAGGAAAAGAAACUAACAAGGAUUCCCCUAGUAACUGCGAGUGAAGCGGGAAAAGCUCAAAUUUAAAAUCUGGCAGUCUCUGGCUGUCCGAGUUGUAAUCUAGAGAAGUGUUAUCCGCGCUGGACCGUGUACAAGUCUCCUGGAAUGGAGCGUCAUAGAGGGUGAGAAUCCCGUCUUUGACACGGACUGCCAGGGCUUUGUGAUGCGCUCUCAAAGAGUCGAGUUGUUUGGGAAUGCAGCUCAAAAUGGGUGGUAAAUUCCAUCUAAAGCUAAAUAUUGGCGAGAGACCGAUAGCGAACAAGUACCGUGAGGGAAAGAUGAAAAGAACUUUGGAAAGAGAGUUAAACAGUACGUGAAAUUGCUGAAAGGGAAACGCUUGAAGUCAGUCGCGUUGGCCAGGGAUCAACCUUGCUUUUGCUUGGUGCACUUUCUGGUUGAUGGGUCAGCAUCAAUUUUGACUAUUGGAAAAAGGUCAAGGGAAUGUGGCAUCUUCGGAUGUGUUAUAGCCCUUAGCUGCAUACAAUGGUUGGGAUUGAGGAACUCAGCACGCCGCAAGGCCGGGUUUAACACGUACCGUGCU